rnacentral:rRNA from 1 species
GACGAACGCUGGCGGCGUGCUUAACACAUGCAAGUCGAACGGAAAGGCCCUGCUUGCAGGGUCCUCGAGUGGCGAACGGGCGAGUAACACGUGGGUGAUCUGCCCUCCACUUCGGGAUAAGCCUGGGAAACUGGGUCUAAUACCUGAUAGGAGCCAUUUUUUGUGUGAUGGUUGGAAAGUUUUUUCGGUGUAGGAUGAGCUCGCGGCCUAUCAGCUUGUUGGUGGGGUAAUGGCCUACCAAGGCGACGACGGGUAGCCGGACUGAGGGGGUGGGCGGCCACCUUGAGACUGAGAUACGGCCCAGACGCCGACGGGAGGCAGAAGGGGGGAAUAUUGAACAAUGGGCGCCGGCCUGAUGCAGAGAGGCCGCGGGGGGGAUGACGGCCUUCGGGUUGUAGACUACUUUCGGUAGGGACGAAGCUUUUUGUGACGGUACCUAGAUAAGAAGCACCGGCUAACUACGUG